UACGGGGGGGGCAAGCGUUGUUCGGAAUUACUGGGCGUAAAGGGCUCGUAGGCGGCCAACUAAGUCUGACGUGAAAUCCCUCGGCUUAACCGGGGAACUGCGUCUGAUACUGGAUGGCUGGAGUUUGGGAGAGGGAUGCGGAAUUCCAGGUGUAGCGGUGAAAUGCGUAGAUAUCUGGAGGAACACCGGUGGCGAAGGCGGCAUCCUGGACCAAUACUGACGCUGAGGAGCGAAAGCCAGGGGAGCAAACGGG
rnacentral:rRNA from 1 species